rnacentral:rRNA from 1 species
GACGAACGCUGGCGGCGUGCUUAACACAUGCAAGUCGAACGGAAAGGCCUUUUCGGAGGUACUCGAGUGGCGAACGGGUGAGUAACACGUGGGUGAUCUGCCCUGCACUCUGGGAUAAGCCUGGGAAACUGGGUCUAAUACCGGAUAGGACCGCACUUUAGUGUGUGUGGUGGCAAGUUUUUUCGGUGUAGGAUGAGCCCGCGGCCUAUCAGCUUGUUGGUGGGGUAAUGGCCUACCAAGGCGGCGACGGGUAGCCGGACUGAGAGGUUGUUCGGCCACAUUGGGACUGAGAUACGGCCCAGACUCCUACGGGAGGCAGCAGUGGGGAAUAUUGCACAAUGGGCGCAAGCCUGAUGCAGCGACGCCGCGUGGGGGAUGACGGCCUUCGGGUUGUAAACUCCUUUCGCCAGGGACGAAGCGUUUUGUGACGGUACCUGGAGAAGAAGCACCGGCUAACUACGUG